GUGAGGAAUAUUGGUCAAUGGACGAGAGUCUGAACCAGCCAAGUCGCGUGAAGGAAGACGGUUCUAUGAAUUGUAAACUUCUUUUGUGCAGGAAUAAAGUGGGUUACGUGUAACCUUUUGUAUGUACUGUACGAAUAAGGAUCGGCUAACUCCGUGCCAGCAGCCGCGGUAAUACGGCUGAUCCGAGCGUUAUCCGGAUUUAUUGGGUUUAAAGGGUGCGUAGGUGGAUUGAUAAGUCAGCGGUGAAAGUUUGCAGCUUAACUGUAAAAUUGACGUUGAAACUGUCGGUCUUGAGUGCAAAUGAGGUAGGCGGAAUGUGUUGUGUAGCGGUGAAAUGCUUAGAUAUAACACAGAACUCCGAUUGCGAAGGCAGCUUACUGGGAUGCAACUGACACUGAUGCACGAAAGCGUGGGUAUCAAACAGGAUUAGAUACCCUGGUAGUCC
rnacentral:rRNA from 1 species